rnacentral:rRNA from 1 species
UACGUAGGGUGCAAGCGUUGUCCGGAAUUAUUGGGCGUAAAGAGCUCGUAGGCGGUCAGUCGCGUCUGCUGUGAAAACUCGGGGCUUAACCCCGGGCCUGCAGUGGGUACGGGCUGACUAGAGUGCGGUAGGGGAGACUGGAAUUCCUGGUGUAGCGGUGAAAUGCGCAGAUAUCAGGAGGAACACCGGUGGCGAAGGCGGGUCUCUGGGCCGUAACUGACGCUGAGAAGCGAAAGCAUGGGGAGCGAACAGG